rnacentral:rRNA from 1 species
GAGGGGGCAAGCGUUGUUCGGAAUUACUGGGCGUAAAGGGCGCGUAGGCGGCCUGCUAAGUCGAACGUGAAAUCCCUGGGCUCAACCCAGGAACUGCGUCCGAUACUGGUUGGCUUGAAUCCGGGAGAGGGACGUGGAAUUCCAGGUGUAGCGGUGAAAUGCGUAGAUAUCUGGAGGAACACCGGUGGCGAAGGCGACGUCCUGGACCGGCAUUGACGCUGAGGCGCGAAAGCCAGGGGAGCAAACGGGAUUAGAUACCCCGGUAGUCCUGGCCCUAAACGAUGAAUGCUUGGUGUGGUGGGUAUCGAUCCCUACCGUGCCGAAGCUAACGCAUUAAGCAUUCCGCCUGGGGAGUACGGUCGCAAGGCUG